GCAGUGUGCCUAACAUAUUACCUGAUAUUUUACCAUUAGCGGGUUUCUCUCUUGGCUAAAGGGACUGUAGAGAAAGGAACAGCUACAUCUGCCUAGAGAAAUCCAUACAGAAGAGGGAAAUGCUUGUGCUGAGGCUUGAAAGAGGAGGAAACACUGGCUCCAUGAAGCCUUCAUCGACCCUCAAGGAUUGGCUCCUUCCUGUCCUUUAUUUCCAUUGAUAAGAAAAAGCUGUCUGUAACUGAUUUCCAGGGCCGAAGUACAAGAACAGCUUCCCACUGUCGCUAGUCUCUGGGUGCCUCAACAUCCCUUGUUUGUUUCUUUAACCUGCUUGUAACCUGGUAGGCGCGGAGUUUAUUACCUGUUUUCUUGUGAGAAGACAAACUCAGAGUGGAAGAGAACUUGUCCCAGGUCACCCUUGGUGGAGGUGAGCUCAGAUCAGCCUGACCUCACAACCCAACAAGAAGCAGGAAAUUUGCUGAAUUGCAUCAGAUUCAAAUGGCCAGGAGCAAGUUUGUACACAUUCAAGUCAACUGGGGGAUUUACUCAAAAUUAUUAUAACUGGAAUGUGCAUUUAAAUAAGCUGUAGGAGGAAACAGUGAUAAAAUAUAGAGUUAAAAGUAUAUAAAUGUUUACUUUUUAAAAAUCAUUUUUUGUCCCUGAAAUGCUUUGAGAUUUUGAUAAUUCUCUAAGUCAGACUUAGUUUAUCCAUUUUAGCUUUUAUUAUUAUACCCUUAAGCUUUUCUGCAUUUGGCAUAAUACCGCAACAAUGCAAAGGUCAACUAAUUUUUAUUUAUAUGGGACUUUCAAUCACAGUGCAAGCAGGAAAUGUGUACAUUCUAUAGUCCAUUCAUCCAAGUUGACAAGAAGAAACCUCAGGCAUGAAGACAGAACAAGCAUUUCUCAACAAUACAAAGUGAUAAAGCGUCAAAAUGAGCUUCAUAUGCGUCUCUUGAGUCCUUCAUUCCAGCACCUUCUCCCAUCCCCACUCUGGAACCUUUUCCUGGAUCCUCCUCCCAGCUGGGUCUUGGUCAACUAGACAGAGGUUUGAGUUAAGGAUAGACAGAAAAGAGUGGAGGGCACUAUCGAGUUGUGGGAUUCACCACAGAGCAAAGCCAAAUUCAUAUGUGUUUUGUUUGAGUUGUAACUCGUUUUUCAAUUAUUCACAUUCCUCCUUCCCUCCAAGAGAGUGAAAGUGAACAGAAAAGGCCAAUCAUCAUUCUAGAAUUUCAUGCUGGACUGUGGAAUAAGAACUAUCCUCACUGCUUCUCUAUCACAGAUAUUACAGAUAUCAUGAGCCUUUGCUUGGCCAAAAAGUUCUAUAAGAAAAAGGAUUUUCAUUUGUGGUAGAGGUGGGUGGACAAGUUUCUUUAUCUAAGAGAAUCAUUAUUCAUCUCCAAUUAUGUACAUAAAUAUUACUGGGUAUUGUGGGGAUGUAAAGACAAAUGGUAUGGUCUCAUGCCCACAUAAAGCUUACAGAAGUAGAAAUGUUAAGAUAAAAAGUGUAGCUUUUUAAUUAGAAAAAAACCUCUUAGCCAUGCUUGCAUGUUCUUUUUGCAUUUACUGGAAAGUGAAAUCCUAAUAAUUUAGUGGGAAAGGGCAUGGUUGGGGUUUUCCACUGGCAUCCUACAAGGAAGCAUGCACAAUUUCAGACAAUACAAUCACGUUCUUCCAGCAAGAGAGAACUAGUUUGGUGCCUAAAAUUGGUUCAAGGCAAAAGUUCCUGAGAGAAAGUAAUUUGGGCAAGCCUUAGAUCAAAUCCUCAGAGACUAGCCUCCCUAGUUGUUUCAUAAUGCUUGGAGGAAAAAAAAACAUUUUCCCUCCCACUCUUCUCCUGACGGAGGUUGCUAGGAUGCCUAUGACUGGCAGCUAGAGGUAGAAGUGUCAUUGCUGCCACUGCCAUACCCUGGCUGGCUGCUAUUAUUUUGGAAGGUGAGAUGACUCCUGCCUCUGGGAUCCCUCUAGUUAUGAAAUGAUUUACUGAAAUGUUUAUUUUCAUAAUGGUAAAUGAAAUUUGUAUUCACGAAUAUGAAAUUUUUACUUCUGAAUAUGUUGUGCACCAUUUUCCAUAAACAUCUGCCUACAUCUGCUGCUGGUGUUUCUCCCACCGUUUCCUGUGGGAGGCUGCAUGCUUUUGCCUCUCUCAGCCAAAUCAUGCCAAACAGAGCCCAUUCUCCUCAAAAGUUAGCAACCAACAGUUUCACCUUGGCAGAGUAGGAACCAGCUUUUUUUUUUUUACUUCUUUUUCUUUUUGAGAUGGAGUCUUGCUCCAUUGCCCAAGCUGGAGUGCAAUGGCACAAUCUUGGCUCACUGCAGCCUCUGCCUCCUGGGUUAAGUGAUUGUCCUCCCUCAGUCUCCCAAGUAG
rnacentral:lncRNA from 1 species